rnacentral:rRNA from 1 species
GACGGGGAUGCAAGUGUUAUCCGGAAUAAUUGGGCGUAAAGGCGUCUGUAGGUGGUUUACCAAGUCUGUUGUUAAAAAUCAGGGCUUAACCCUGAUCCGGCAACAGAAACUAGUAGGCUGGAGUACGGUAGGGGCAGAGGGAAUUCUCGGUGUAGUGGUGAAAUACGUAGAUAUCGAGAAGAACACAAUAGCGAAAGCACUCUGCUGGGCCGAAACUGACAUUGAGAGACGAAAGCUAGGGAGC